GAGGAAAAGGAACCAACAGGGAUUGCCCCAGUAACGGCGAGUGAAGCGGCAACAGCUCAAAUUUGAAAUCUGGCCCCCAGGGCCCGAGUUGUAAUUUGCAGAGGAUGCUUUUGGUGAGGUGCCUUCCGAGUUCCCUGGAACGGGACGCCAUAGAGGGUGAGAGCCCCGUCUGGUUGGAUACCGAGCCUCUGUAAAGCUCCUUCGACGAGUCGAGUAGUUUGGGAAUGCUGCUCUAAAUGGGAGGUAUAUGUCUUCUAAAGCUAAAUAUUGGCCAGAGACCGAUAGCGCACAAGUAGAGUGAUCGAAAGAUGAAAAGCACUUUGAAAAGAGGGUUAAAUAGUACGUGAAAUUGUUGAAAGGGAAGCACUUAUGACCAGACUUGGCCCCGGUGAAUCAUCCAGCGGUUCCCGUUGGUGCACUUUGCCGGGGUUCAGGCCAGCAUCAGUUCGCUCCGGGGGAUAAAGGCUUUGGGAAUGUGGCUCCCUCGGGAGUGUUAUAGCCCAUUGCGCAAUACCCUGUGGCGGGCUGAGGUUCGCGC
rnacentral:rRNA from 1 species